rnacentral:ncRNA from 1 species
UACGCGGAGAGCCCAACUGUUUAAUAAAAACGUAGUGUCGCGCUGUGGUAGUAUAGCCAGUGAACGCGACAUGAAUCCUGCUCAGUGCUGUGUCUGUUAAUAUGGUUCAAGCCAACGAAGCACCGGUAAAUAGCUGGGGUAACUAUGACUCUUAUCAAAGUAGCGAAAUACCUCGUCACUUAAUUAGUGACCUGCAUGAACGGAGCUAUGAGGUUCUCACUGUCCCAAACUGUCUCUCAGCGAACCAACUGUAGUGGGAACGGUCACUAGAUAUCCAGCGGGGAAAGAAGACCCUGUAGAGCUUCACUUUGGUCUAGUCUUGUAUAGUUCCUGCGGGGGUGUAGACUAGGUGGGAGAGCAAUCGAUUCUGAAAAACCACUACCCUGUUUGGAAUUAUGCUUACCUAUCACAAGGAAUAGGACUAGAUAGAAAGUUUGGCUGGGGCGGCACACCUUCGAAAGAGCAGCGAAGGUGUCCUAAGUUGAGCUCAGUGAGGACAGAAAUCUCACGUUGAGGAUAAGGCCAAAAGCUCAAUUUACUGUGCCUUUUUGUACUAGGAUCAGUUACGAAAGUAAGGCCUAACGAUCCCUAAAUAGCCUCAGGUGCGUGAGGAUUGGGGUGACAGACAAGUUACCUCCGGGACAACUGGCUUGUGGCUGCUAAGAGAUCAAAUCAACGCAGCUUUUUGAUUCUUCGAUGUCGGCUCUUCCUAUCCUAGUGAUGUACAAGUUGCUAAGGGUCGGAUUGUUCACCCGUAUUAGGGAUCGUGAGCUGGGUUUAGACCGUCGUGAGCCAGGUUUGUUUUAUCCUACUGGAUAUAGCAUCAUGAUAGUAGAUUGAUUUAGUACGAGAGGAACUGUUGAUUAUGGGCCUCUGGUUAGCGAUUA